AUACGGAGGGUGCAAGCGUUACUCGGAAUCACUGGGCGUAAAGCGCGCGCAGGCGGUCUUUUAAGUUGGAUGUGAAAGCCUACGGCUCAACCGUAGAACUGCAUCCAAAACUAUUAGACUAGAGUGUGGGAGAGGAAGAUGGAAUUAGUUGUGUAGGGGUAAAAUCCGUAGAGAUAACUAGGAAUACCAAAAGCGAAGGCAAUCUUCUGGAACACUACUGACGCUGAGGCGCGAAAGCGUGGGGAGCAAACAGAAUUAGAAACCCUAGUAGUCC
rnacentral:rRNA from 1 species